GAGGGUAUAGCUCAACGGUAGAGUACAUGCUUUGCAUGCACAAGGUCCUGGGUUCAAUCCCCAGCACUUCCA
rnacentral:tRNA from 1 species